CCUACGGGUGGCAGCAGUGAGGAAUAUUGGUCAAUGGACGAGAGUCUGAACCAGCCAAGUAGCGUGAAGGAUGACUGCCCUAUGGGUUGUAAACUUCUUUUAUAUGGGAAUAAAACGUUCCACGUGUGGGAUUUUGUAUGUACCAUAUGAAUAAGGAUCGGCUAACUCCGUGCCAGCAGCCGCGGUAAUACGGAGGAUCCGAGCGUUAUCCGGAUUUAUUGGGUUUAAAGGGAGCGUAGGUGGAUUGCUAAGUCAGUUGUGAAAGUUUGCGGCUCAACCGUAAAAUUGCAGUUGAAACUGGCAGUCUUGAGUACAGUAGAGGUGGGCGGAAUUCGUGGUGUAGCGGUGAAAUGCUUAGAUAUCACGAAGAACUCCGAUUGCGAAGGCAGUUCACUGGACUGCAACUGACACUGAGGCUCGAAAGUGUGGGUAUCAAACAGGAUUAGAUACCCUUGUAGUC
rnacentral:rRNA from 1 species